CCGCGUCGAGGACGGACGAGGUUGACGCCCCGCGUAGAGGACGGACGAGGUUGACGCCCCGCGUAGAGGACGGACGAGGUUGACGCCCCGCGUAGAGGACGGACGAGGUUGACGCCCCGCGUAGAGGACGGACGAGGUUGACGCCCCGCGUAGAGGACGGACGAGGUUGACGCCCCGCGUAGAGGACGGACGAGGUUGACGCCCCGCGUAGAGGACGGACGAGGUUAACGCCCCGCGUAGAGGACGGACGAGGUUAACGCCCCGCGUAGAGGACGGACGAGGUUAACGCCCCGCGUAGAGGACGGACGAGGUUAACGCCCCGCGUAGAGGACGGACGAGGUUAACGCCCCGCGUAGAGGACGGACGAGGUAACGCCCCACGUAGAGGACGGACGAGGUAACGCCCCACGUAGAGGACGGACGAGGUAACGCCCCACGUAGAGGACGGACGAGGUAACGCCCCACGUAGAGGACGGACGAGGUAACGCCCCACGUAGAGGACGGACGAGGUAACGCCCCACGUAGAAGGACGGACGAGGUAACGCCCCACGUAGAGGACGGACGAGGUAACGCCCCACGUAGAGGACGGACGAGGUAACACGCGGUAACGCCCCACGCGGUAACGGCCCACGUAGAGGACGGACGAGGUAACACGCGGUAACGCCCCACGCGGUAACGCCCCACGCGGUAACGCCCCACGCGGUCAGAGGACACAGUAUUUUCCUUUGUGUGUUUCACACAGCCAGCCACAUGGAGUCGUGGUGCAUAGUAGACUAUUUACUGUGCUUUGAUUGACAACUAAACAGCAAGUGUUGACUAGUUUAUAAAGUGUAAAACUGACUGAAUAAAGUCAAUCUCCUAUUCAUAAAUCAUACAGCGUGGUUAUACUGCGUGUCCAUGGUGACAUAAAACAAAGGAUUCCCUAGGUUUCCUUUCCUUAGAUGUCGGGACUAAAGUCACUGUAAAUAAGACUUUCAUCUCAAGAGAAGACAUGUUAAACGCUCCCUUACUUAGAACAUAUUCCUGAUAUAAGCCUAGGCCAUACCCCCAAACAACUAAUUCAUUCAUUUUCAGUAAAUUAAAAUUGCCCUGGCUGGCUACUUUUUCUAUUUGGCUGGCUACUCUAUGUACUUGUGGAAAACAC